GAGUAACACGUGAGCAACCUGCCUUGAGAGUGGAAUAGCGUUCUGGAAACGGAUGGUAAUAACCGCAUGAAAUUAUCUGACCGCAUGAUUGGAUAAUCAAAGAUUUAUCGCUCAAAGAUGGGCUCGCGUCUGAUUAGAUAGUUGGUGGGGUAACGGCCUACCAAGUCGACGAUCAGUAGCCGGACUGAGAGGUUGAACGGCCACAUUGGGACUGAGACACGGCCCAGACUCCUACGGGAGGCAGCAGUGGGGAAUAUUGCACAAUGGGCGGAAGGCCUGAUGCAGCCGAUGCCGCGUGGAGGAAGAAGGUUCUCGGAUUGUAAACUCCUGAUCUGAGGGACGAUAAUGACGGUACCUCAGGAGAAAGCUCCCGGCUAACUACGUGCCAGCCGCAGC
rnacentral:rRNA from 1 species